CCAAUAGCGUAUAUUAAAGUUGUUGCAGUUAAAAAGCUCGUAGUUGAAUUUCGGGAUUGACGUGAUGGUCGUGCCUUAAGGGGUAUGAACUGUCGCAGUUGAUUUCUCACCUUCUGGAGAAGCAUGAUGUCCUUAAUUGGGUGUCACGUGGAACCAGGACCUUUACCUUGAAAAAAUUAGAGUGUUUAAAGCAGGCAUUU
rnacentral:rRNA from 1 species